rnacentral:lncRNA from 1 species
GUUAUAAAAAUGGCAUUACUGCACAGUUUUAAGAUGAUGCAGAUUUUUUUACAGUUGUAUUGUGGUGCAGAACUGGAUUUUCUGUAACUUAAAAAAAAAAUCCACAGUUUUAAAGGCAAUAAUCAGUAAAUGUUAUUUUCAGGGACUGACAUCCUGUCUUUAAAAACAAAUGAAAAGUAAAUCUUACCACAAUAAAUAUAAAAAAAUCUUGUCAGUU